AGAGUUUGAUCAUGGCUCAGGAUAAACGCUGGCGGCGUGCCUAACACAUGCAAGUCGAACGCCCUGCGCAAGCAGGGAGUGGCGGACGGGUGAGGAACAUGUGGGUGAUCUACCCUUCGGUGAGGAAUACCGGCGAGAAAUCGCCGACAAAACCGCAUAGGCUUCGAGAGAAGCAAAGUCGCAAGACGCCGGAGGAGGAG
rnacentral:rRNA from 1 species